UACGUAGGGGGCAAGCGUUGUCCGGAAUCAUUGGGCGUAAAGCGCGUGUAGGCGGCUCGAUAAGUCUGCUGUGAAAGUCCAAGGCUCAACCUUGGGAUGCCGGUGGAUACUGUCGAGCUCGAGUCCGGAAGAGGAGUGUGGAAUUCCUGGUGUAGCGGUGAAAUGCGCAGAUAUCGGGAGGAACACCAGUAGCGAAGGCGGCUCGCUGGGCCAUUCCUGACGCUGAGACGCGAAAGCUAGGGGAGCGAACAGG
rnacentral:rRNA from 1 species